rnacentral:tRNA from 1 species
GGAGGCGGUGCAGGCGCACGAAUCGUAGUGCUCUUGAAAACCGCUAGGCCGGGUGACCGGUCUCGUGGGUUCGAAUCCCACGCUCUCCG